rnacentral:rRNA from 1 species
UACGGAGGUGGCAAGCGUUGUUCGGAAUUACUGGGCGUAAAGGGCGCGUAGGCGGCCGUCUAAGUCAGACGUGAAAUCCCCCGGCUUAACCUGGGAACUGCGUCUGAUACUGGAAGGCUUGAGUAUGGGAGAGGGAUGUAGAAUUCCAGGUGUAGCGGUGAAAUGCGUAGAUAUCUGGAGGAACACCGGUGGCGAAGGCGGCAUCCUGGACCGGUAUUGACGCUGAGGAGCGAAAGCCAGGGGAGCAAACGGG